rnacentral:rRNA from 1 species
GAUGAACGCUAGCUACAGGCUUAACACAUGCAAGUCGAGGGGCAGCAUGUCGGUUGCUUGCAACCGAUGAUGGCGACCGGCGCACGGGUGAGUAACGCGUAUCCAACCUGGCCCACAGGUAGGGAACACGCCCGGCGAAAGUCGGAUUAAUGCCCUAUGUUUCCUUAGAGAGCAUUUGAUGAGGAACAAAGAUUUAUCGCUAUGGGAUGGGGAUGCGUCUGAUUAGGUAGUAGGCGGGGUAACGGCCCACCUAGCCGACGAUCAGUAGGGGUUCUGAGAGGAAGGUCCCCCACAUUGGAACUGAGACACGGUCCAAACUCC